rnacentral:rRNA from 1 species
GACGGGGGAUGCAAGUGUUAUCCGGAAUAAUUGGGCGUAAAGCGUCUGUAGGUGGUUUACCAAGUCUGUUGUUAAAAAUCAGGGCUUAACCCUGAUCCGGCAACAGAAACUAGUAGGCUGGAGUACGGUAGGGGCAGAGGGAAUUUCCGGUGGAGCGGUGAAAUGCGUAGAGAUCGGAAAGAACGACCAACGGCGAAAGCACUCUGCUGGGCCGACACUGACACUGAGAGACGAAAGCUAGGGGAGCGAAUGGG